GGAGCCACACUGACACCUCUCCUGGCUUCCCCACAGCGGUGUCAGCUUUCGGCAAGAAGUUCACUUCAUUCUGGUGAGAGAACGGCACAAGGAGUUUGGGAAGCGAGUGGAGAUUGAGUCGUUGCAGUGGAAAAACCUAUGAAGAAGCCAAUGAAUUCAGCACGCAGCGCCAGACUCUGAGUAUAACGCUUUUGAAAGCAGGGCGAUCCCUGGAUGCUGGACCAAAAAGCGGCCGAGCAGGGGCCCGGCGGACGCCCUGGGGCAGGUGCCCCCCACGCCAGGCGAGCAGCUCCAGCGCGGCACACGGCAAGCCCCGGCAGCCGCCAUGAGGGGAUGGGCCUGAUACAGACCACUGGGUCGGGCCCUGUGGGUUGGCUGCGGCCCUUUCUCAAGAUUAUACGCAGAGUUGCUCCCUCCGAACCCCAGCUCUGGCCUCUUCAUAGGUUUUUCCCCCCCACAAGCCGAGGGCUGGGCGCCAUGGGCGCCACUCCUCCUUCCCAACCCCAUCCGCCCCGCCGGGGCCGUCCCCGCG